rnacentral:rRNA from 1 species
GAUGAACGCUGGCGGCGUGCCUAAUACAUGCAAGUCGUGCGGUAACACUUCGGGUGACGAGCGGCGGACGGGUGAGUAAUGCAUAGGAACGUGCCCCAAAGUGAGGGAUAACUGCUCGAAAGAGUAGCUAAUACCGCAUAUUACUUUCGGAUCAAAGCUUCGGCGCUUUGGGAGCGGCCUAUGUCUGAUUAGCUAGUUGGUAGGGUAAAGGCCUACCAAGGCGACGAUCAGUAGCUGGUUUGAGGGGAUGAUCAGCCACACUGGGACUGAGACACGGCCCAGACUCCUACGGGAGGCAGCAGUAGGGAAUUUUCCACAAUGGGGGCAACCCUGAUGGAGCAACGCCGCGUGCAGGAUGAAGGCCUUCGGGUCGUAAACUGCUUUUAUCUGUGACGAUUUUGACGGUAGCAGAUGAAUAAGGAUCGGCUAACUACGUGCCAGCAGCCGCGGUAA